AAAAAAUUUGGACCGCUGUCUGUUCAUCGUCUCUCUCUAACUCUCGUCGCCGAUUUGCUGAAGCGUCCUCCUAGUAAAGAGUUACAACCUGUUGACGUUGAUGAGACUUAUAUGGGAUAUGAGACAUGGUCUCCAAGUCCACCAAAGUUGGAGAAACCAAGAUCAGUCUUCAAUGCUGCUUCAUUAGCUUUUAUAGACAGGCGAUUCUAUUUACGAGGCCUUUUCUUUUCCCUCCGCUUAGUAUUGAAGACUAUAACGACCUUGUUAGAGCAGUGGUGCGCGCUGAAUCGCAGUAUGCAUUGCUAAAGAAGCUUGUUGACGAUGAUUUCUUAACAAAAUAAGAGAGGCAAGAAUCUAGGUUCCGCAAGAACACGUACAAGAAGGCGUGCGGGUAGUGCGGUUUAUAACAAGGCAUCAUCAUUGGAGACACUAAGUAAGUAACCCUAAUAUCUAAAUUUACACUACGUUCUUCUUUAUGCUUCUAACUCUUAUAACAAGGCAUGAUCUGCGUGAUACUAAACCCGCUUCAUCUGUUCAAUUGGUUAUCUGUAUCUGACAAAUGGGAAAAGAUUAGAA